AAGCUUUUUUUGAAAAAAAAAAGAAACAACUUUGGAAAGCUUUCUUAAGGACCUCAUGAAGCUUUUACUUCUUUUGCAGUACAUGAUUGUCAGCUCGUGGCCAAUAAUAAUAUACCCCUCGACCUCGAGAAACUGGCGAUUCACGACGAAUCUGCUGGGACAAAUUGCAUAUGUCACUGGAGAAGCUACAACAGAUUCGGAUACUGAGAAACGGUUGGAAAAGAAGAUUGGUCGUAAACUUUCAAGUAGACCAUCUGAGGAAUUACCCUACGGUAACUAAUGGCUUCUAGGUUUGGCCAAUUGAUUGCUUGUUCGACAAAACCGUUUGUUAGCGGUUGUUUUCGGUUACUAUUUUAUACGUACGAUCGAGAUACUAAGAGGUAAUGUAUAUGAUGGAUUUGAGUAGUGAAACGUAGUAAAAAGCUAAGCAAUACAUAAUUGGUGAGGCUAUCCAUUAUCCAAA